rnacentral:rRNA from 1 species
AUUGAACGCUGGCGGAAUGCUUUACACAUGCAAGUCGAACGGCAGCACGGGGGCAACCCUGGUGGCGAGUGGCGAACGGGUGAGUAAUACAUCGGAACGUGCCCAGUCGUGGGGGAUAACGUAGCGAAAGCUACGCUAAUACCGCAUACGAUCUACGGAUGAAAGCGGGGGACCGUAAGGCCUCGCGCGAUUGGAGCGGCCGAUGUCAGAUUAGGUAGUUGGUGAGGUAAAGGCUCACCAAGCCGACGAUCUGUAGCUGGUCUGAGAGGACGACCAGCCGCACUGGGACUUAGACACGGCCCAGACUCCUACGGGAGGCAGCAGUGGGGAAUUUUGGACAAUGGGCGCAAGCCUGAUCCAGCCAUUCCGCGUGCAGGACGAAGGCCUUCGGGUUGUAAACUGCUUUUGUACGGAACGAAAAGGCUCUGGUUAAUACCUGGGGCUCAUGACGGUACCGUAAGAAUAAGCACCGGCUAACUACGUGCCAGCCGCCGCAGUAA